UAUUGCUUACGGUGGCAUUCGUUCUGUUGCCCUCACUUCCACUGGCCAGAUUUUUGCAUUGGGCCAUGGUGGUUUCGGUGCAUUGGGGCAUGUAUCAUAGAGAACUGUUCCCUAGACUAGUGGAAGGUUCUUGGGAUGG